rnacentral:rRNA from 1 species
CUGACGCAGCGACGCCGCGUGAGCGAGGAAGGCCUUCGGGUCGUAAAGCUCAGUCACCUGGGAAGAGUGGUCAUGGGAGUGGAAAAUCCAUGACGAGACGGUACCGGGAGAGGAAGCCCCGGCAAACUACGUGCCAGCAGCCGCGGUAAUACGUAGGGGGCAAGCGUUGUCCGGAAUCACUGGGCGUAAAGGGUGCGUAGGCGGUUUGGCAAGUCCGGGGUGAAAGGCUCCAGCUCAACUGGGGUAAUGCCUUGGAAACGGCUGAACUUGAGUACUGGAGAGGCAAGGGGAAUUCCACGUGUAGCGGUGAAAUGCGUAGAUAUGUGGAGGAAUACCAGUGGCGAAGGCGCCUUGCUGGACAGUGACUGACGCUGAGGCACGAAAGCGUGGGGAGCAAACAGGAUUAGAUACCCUGGUAGUCCACGCCGUAAACGAUGAGUGCUAGGUGUUGGGGGGGUCACUCCUCAGUGCCGAAGGAAACCCAAUAAGCACUCCGCCUGGGGAGUACGGUCGCAAGACUGAAACUCAAAGGAAUUGACGGGGGCCCGCACAAGCAGUGGAGCAUGUGGUUUAAUUCGAAGCAACGCGAAGAACCUUACCAGGGCUUGACAUCCCUCUGACGUCUCUAGAGAUAGGGAUUCCCUUCGGGGCAGAGGAGACAGGUGGUGCAUGGUUGUCGUCAGCUCGUGUCGUGAGAUGUUGGGUUAAGUCCCGCAACGAGCGCAACCCUUGAUCUGUGUUACCAGCGCGUGAAGGCGGGGACUCACAGGUGACUGCCGGCGUAAGUCGGAGGAAGGUGGGGAUGACGUCAAAUCAUCAUGCCCUUGAUGUCCUGGGCGACACACGUGCUACAAUGGGCGGAACAACGGGAAGCGAGACCGCGAGGUGGAGCGAACCCCUGAAAACCGUUCGUAGUUCGGAUUGCAGGCUGCAACCCGCCUGCAUGAAGCCAGAAUUGCUAGUAAUCGCGGAUCAGCAUGCCGCGGUGAAUCCGUUCCCGGGCCUUGUACACACCGCCCGUCACACCACGAGAGUUGGCAACACCCGAAGUCGGUGGGGUAACCCGC